GACGCCUGCCCGGUGCUGGAAGGUUAAUUGAUGGGGUUAGCUGUAAAAAGCGAAGCUCUUGAUCGAAGCCCCAGUAAACGGCGGCCGUAACUAUAACGGUCCUAAGGUAGCGAAAUUCCUUGUCGGGUAAGUUCCGACCUGCACGAAUGGCGUAACGACAGCGGCGCUGUCUCCACCCGAGACUCAGUGAAAUUGAAAUCGCUGUGAAGAUGCAGCGUUCCCGUGGCAAGACGGAAAGACCCCGUGAACCUUUACUAUAGCUUUACACUGAACGUUGAGUUCGUCUGUGUAGGAUAGGUGGGAGGCUAUGAAACCAUGACGCUAGUUGUGUUGGAGCCAUCCUUGAAAUACCACCCUGUCGUGCUUGACGUUCUAACCUAGUUCCGUUAUCCGGAUCAGGGACAGUGUAUGGUGGGUAGUUUGACUGGGGCGGUCUCCUCCCAAAGAGUAACGGAGGAGCACGAAGGUACGCUCAGCGCGGUCGGACAUCGCGCACUGUGUGCAAAGGCAUAAGCGUGCUUGACUGCGAGAUCGACGGAUCAAGCAGGUACGAAAGUAGGUCUUAGUGAUCCGGUGGUUCUGUAUGGAAGGGCCAUCGCUCAACGGAUAAAAGGUACUCCGGGGAUAACAGGCUGAUACCGCCCAAGAGUUCAUAUCGACGGCGGUGUUUGGCACCUCGAUGUCGGCUCAUCACAUCCUGGGGCUGUAGUCGGUCCCAAGGGUAUGGCUGUUCGCCAUUUAAAGUGGUACGCGAGCUGGGUUCAGAACGUCGUGAGACAGUUCGGUCCCUAUCUGCCAUGGGCGUUGGAGAUUUGAGAGGGGCUGCUCCUAGUACGAGAGGACCGGAGUGGACGAACCUCUGGUGUUCCGGUUGUCACGCCAGUGGCAUUGCCGGGUAGCUAUGUUCGGAAGCGAUAACCGCUGAAAGCAUCUAAGCGGGAAGCGCGCCUCAAGAUGAGAUCUCCCGGGAUGUAAAUCCCCUAAAGGAACCAUGUAGACUACGUGGUGGAUAGGUCAGGUGUGUAAGUGCAGCAAUGCAUUGAGCUAACUGAUACUAAUGAUCCGUGUGGCUUGACCA
rnacentral:rRNA from 1 species